AGAAUUACUUGGAGUUGCCUAUGAUUGAAAUGGGGACUUUUUGCAUGCAAAACACAUUCUCUUACUGCUGAGCUACAGUCCUUCCACUUGAAUGAGACUGAAUUCGUGGUAAGGAACUAGAGAAAUAGGAAGAGGGAGCAAGAGUAAUCAUGAGAUUAGGCAAGCCUGGGCAAGAGAGAACACACCACAGGGAGCAACAGCCUCUCUCUUUAAAAUGGGGAAUAGCAUUGCAUCAGUCUCUUUGCUGACAAUACCCUGUUUAUGUUAGACAAUUCUGACAAAGCUAUCCAGUGUUGUAAGAGCAAUUACAUGACUUCAAAGAGAUAGCAGGUCUUGAGGUGAACUAUGAGAAAUUUGGACUCACAUGCGUACCUAUCCUUUUGGACACCCAGAAAGAACUCUCUGGGCUAACCUUGAAAUUUGGGUGCCUUAGAUAGCCUGGGGUUCUUAUUGUGAAAGAGAUGUAGCAAUUGCAAAAGAGAAACCUUGUCCUUUUAUUGCAAACUGUUUAUUGAUGUGAAUGCUUGAAAAUUUCUUGGUUGGGAAAGAAUGUGUCACUUCAAAUGGCAAUGCUCCCCAAGUUCUCAUUCUUAUUUCAAACCCUCCCUAUUCCUCUGAGUGAGCUUCAAAAGUAGCAGCACUUAUUUGAUAUAUUUUAAUGGAAGAGGUAACAGACCUAGAGUACAGAAGGUCUGCUGAGGGUGGUUGCAGUGUGCUUCAUCUACAUAUUAUGAGACAUUUCAGGUGAGACAGCUCAUUAGGUUUAUUUAGAAUGGAAAUGACAUAUCAUGUAUAUAAACAGAAGCUAAGCCUUGGUUUUGUAAAUACUGGAGAACCAUCCUUUCGCUUCUCCCAGAGUAGAAAACUUUGCUUUAUUUCCUAUCCAUUUUUACGGUAAGUUUUGGGUGAAGUGGGCAAAACAGUUUGCUCAUGAUUUGUCUCUUCUGCUACCCUUUUUGAACCUCCUGAAAUUUAAAGAUUCUUUCAGUAUCAGGGAUUGAAGGCGAAGGGGGCUUCAAAGGAUACUGUGGGAUAAUCAGCCUCAUAUAACCAACAUGCUUAAACCUAAUUACUACAUGAAGGGGUUGAUACCAUAGAGUAAGCUGUCCUGCCAGGCUUAGUUGUCCACUUUCUCUCAGCUUGGGAGCAACUAUGUAAUCAAGCCUUUAUUCAACCCCAUAGUCUACCUGAGAAGCUCAACAUGUGAAGAGGUUUGAGGUAAUUGCUGCAACUCAGACCGCAUGGCUCGCACAGGCCACCCUUGAGUUUCUGGAUCUAUACCAAUAAUUUAGGAACUCUGAUCACUUUGUAACUAAGCUAAGUUUUACUGCCUGUGUAAUCUUUUCUGAAGCACAUGUAUCUGACCUUUGGAGAGUUUGUAAGUCUGUAAGUAAACCAUUUAAAUUUCAAACUUACCAAACCUGUGCUCUUUUCUAUGCUGGGAGAAGUAGGAAACUUUGGAAAGAAUUUUGUUAAGGAGACAUUUUGGAACUCACUUUAAAGGGCACAUUUUAAGGUUUUGCAGCCUAUAUUUUCAUGCUUUACUUUGCUGCAUGUUUUGUGUUUUUAAAUCUCCGCAGGGGUUUUCUCACCAAAGAGUACUUGCCCCAAACUUGGAUCUCAGCAUCUAGAAAUUCUCCUUUCUCUCUAUAUAUUGCAGGACUUCUUUACUAGGGGCAGACCUUUAAUAUUGCAAGAGCUGGAGAUUUAGCUGGGGGAUCUCAAUCAGGAUUGGUUUCAGAAGAUGUAAACACAGUCUUUCAUGACCAUGUUGUCUCAAGCAUAUGGUACACUGUGCUCACUAAUCCUAUUGGAGAAACUGUGUGAGACUAGCUCUGGAAUGACAAAAGGAGUGGUAACAGAUGUGUAUAAAAUGAUGACUGACCACCUGUAUGGUGAGGGGGCAGUUUAAAGCAGCUGUGGAAAACAGACUUUAGGGGUGCAAUUCUAGAUGGAAAUUGAAAGGCAAUGUGGAAAGUUCUAUGUAAUAAAUCGUUGUCAGCUAAGAUGGAAGAAUCCAUGCUCAAGCUGGUGCAUAGAUGGCACUGGUCUGAUUUUGCUGUCACCAUAAUGCUGGAGGGGGAGUCCGACCCCAGGUAUGCUUAUUCACCUCAGGUGGGAAUGCCCAGGAGUGAACCAGUUCUGGUGAUGUGUCUUUGCAGGUAUUUCAGAUAUUUUUCAUUGGGAGCUGGAGGCUGAACCAACUUUGGCCUUGCUAUCUUUAUUUUGAGGGCAAAACAAGUCCGUAGCAUAUAAAAGCUUGAUAACUUACUUACUAGCAGCUGCCCAAAUGGAGAUCACUCGCCACUGGGAAGCUGCAGGGGAGUGCACAUUAAGAUGUGGUAAAGUUUGGGAUUUGGCAUUAGUUGAUAAGCUCACACAAGAGAUGUAAACGUCUCAGAGGUGACAUAACACAAGGCACUUUUGACACUGAUUGGUUUCCUUUUAUUUCGUAUAUGAACUCCAGUGCAGGAGAACGUAAACCGGCUAAUCUUCAGAGAUCUUUUUGGAGGGAUUAUCUGUCCUGAUGCGUUUGAUAUGCUUUGUCUGCCUCCUUGUAAACUGCUCUGACUACUCUAUAUACAGCCUCACAUGUGGUGGCUUGUUAUUGACCUAUUGAUCUGUUUCUGUGGUCACAGACUGCUGUGUGGUAUACAACCUAUAAACUGUGUUGUAAGUUUCUUAUGCUGGGUUGUUGUCUUAUGCGAUUAUUAAUUUC
rnacentral:lncRNA from 1 species